rnacentral:rRNA from 1 species
UACAGAGGGGGCAAGCGUUGUUCGGAAUUACUGGGCGUAAAGGGCGCGUAGGCGGCCUGUUAAGUCGGACGUGAAAUCCCUCGGCUCAACCGGGGAACUGCGUCCGAUACUGGCGGGCUUGAAUUCGGGAGAGGGAUGUGGAAUUCCAGGUGUAGCGGUGAAAUGCGUAGAUAUCUGGAGGAACACCGGUGGCGAAGGCGGCAUCCUGGACCGACAUUGACGCUG